AAAUUUUAAUAUUGUCGCUUAUCUUUAGAAGUAUAGUUACUGUCAUUCAUGUAAUUCUCGUAACUAUAAAUUCAUUAAAGUAAGUAAUUAGUUUAAAUUUUAAAGUCAAAAUACUAUCGUCUCAUUCAAAUCAAAUAAAUUGAAAAGUUGGCUAGUAAAAUGAGAAUUUUGAAAGACUGGGUAACAAAUUUAAAAUAUUCUAUAGUUCUGAUAAAUUUUGUAUGUUUUUUUACCUUUUCAAUAUUACCAGAGGCAAAAAAAUAAAAAAAUAAAAAAAUCUAAUCAUGGCUAGAUAUCUGUAUUUGCUUUAGCAAUAUCAAAACUAGUUUUAACUUUUAACAAUAUUAAUUUUUUUUACCGAUCAUAUCUAGCGCAAUUUACUAAAACUUGAUGGUUGUCAUUUGAAAUCUCAAAUUUGAAACCAAAUUACUUUAAAUUUUUAUCCAAUCUAAAAAAACAAACGAAACAAUAACAUUCUACGCUAGUUAAUUAGUUACAUAUAUUGUGUGUUCUUUAAAAGGUACCGUUUGGAUCGGGUAUAAAGGGGGGAUAAGGGGGUUAUCCCCCUCUUUAUACCCAAACAAAUUUUUUUGGGGUGGGAACACAACUUGUUCCCACCCACAAGGGGUGGGAACAAGUUGUUCCCACGUUCCCACCCAACCUGGUACAAGGCCUCCUUGUACCAGGUUGGGUCGGAACAAGUUGUUCCCACCCAGGGGUGGGGAACAAGGGGUGGGAAACAAGUUGUUCCCACCCCCUAGGUAGAGAGAGAGAGAGAGAUUUUUAUUUUAAAUUUAAAUUUAAAUUUUUAAAAUUUAUAAUUUUUAAAAUUUAAAUUUAUAAUUUAAAAAUUAUAAAUUUUAAAUUUAAAAUUUAAAAUUUGAUAUUUUUAGUUUUUAAAUUUUAAAUUUGCUAUUUUCUAUCUUUGAAAUUUAAAUGUCUUAAAUUUAAAAUUUGAUAUUUAAAAUUAAAAUUUUGAAAAUUAAAAUUUUAAAUUUUAAUUUCAAAUUUUAAAAUUUAAAAGUUAAAAUUUUCAAUUUUCAAUUUAAAAUUAUAAGUUUAAAAUUUAAAAAUUUAAAUUCAAUUAUAGGGGUAAUAUCAUUAUUUUCUAUUUAUAACUAACAACUAUUCCUCUUAUUCCCAAUAACCAUCCAAACACAAUUUUUCUAGUUCCAGCUUAUACUCGCAUUUUCAUCCAAACAAAAAAAUAUUCUUAUUCUUACAAAAAUUCAUAUUUGUACCUAUCCCCGAUAUAACUAGUUCUUAGUAAUUCUCGAACCAAACGAAGCUUUACUACAUGAUCAAAAUAACAAUAUAUAC
rnacentral:lncRNA from 1 species